AAAUACAGGAUUGUGAUAUGAAAGAAUGUUCUGUUAUUUUAUUUAUUCAUUCAUUUAUUAAUUUGUUAUUGUACCACAAAUGCAGCAUAUAUUUUAAAUGCUGAUUCAGAAUUUUUGGUCUAGUGAUCCUUGAAGUCUAUAAAUCGAUGGAUGUGUCAAAUUUAGAAAAAGCGAAAUGGCUCCAAGAAAAAAAAUAAUCGUCGAAACGAGGUAUAUUGCACCCAAGGAAUCGGUGAACCUGCAUCCACGGUUAGGUACCAUCCAGCCCGGGGACAACUUGACAGAUAGUGCUUGUUUCAUAUAUGUACCACCGAUUUGAUGGUGGCGCUAGUAUGCCUUUUCUGUACGACUACCACGAACAACGACACGAAAAAGUUUCAAGAGAAAAGCGUGUUUCGUUACGUGUGUUAUGAACGCCGUCAAUGCGGCUAGAACAACAUUUAGAAAAAGCGUAUUCCAAAAUGUGGAUAAAGAAAAAUAUUAUUAGAGAAUAAAUUUAUCCCUGAUUGGAAACCGUCAGCAAAGUUACAUAAAUCUUAUUAUAGAUUUAGCUGGAAGGUGUUGUUUUUAGCAACCGGCUCUCUUCCUUCCUAAAAAUGUUUUGGUUUUCUUGUUGUGUGAAGUUUGUAAUCGGUAAAUCAUUGGUGUUAUAAAUGAAAUAUAAAUGAAAAACUUUUUGGCCAAUGAAAGUAAAUCACCAAGCUUAACAAUUCGUGAACCUGCGACAUCUUGUUUCAAGUUCAUUAAGAACGUCAAGAAUUCUAGCAUUUUGAUUGGGAGAAUAAACAAUAUAUGUAGGAUUUUCUACACAUUUAGCAAAAUUGGUUUUGAAUAAAAUUUGUGUGUUUUUAUCAGAAUUCUGGCAUCAAACCAGUAGUGCUCGGUUUCAGCAAGAAUGCUGCCAGGAAUGUACAAUUUUGUACGACUUCGGCCAGAGUUUUCUUCGACUUUUGCAAUAAUUCUGUCCGGAAGAUGUUGCGAUGGUUUUGGUAUGGAUCCCUUCACAAUUAUUCUGGCAUUUUCCUCGGCUCUACCGGAGGAUUUCAUGCCUUAGGAGAUGUUGAUUAGUUUCGGAAGAUUUUCGGAAAUUCCAAUAUAAGUGGUAGUGGCUUGAUUUUGAAAGUCAUCUUCUUGUAUUUCCGAAAAUCGAUUUAUUUUCUUUCGGAUUUUUAAAAUUCCAAAUGGAAUCUAUGUUUCUGUUUAAGUAUGGGGGAAUGAGGACAGUUUCUAAUGUGAACAGCGAAAUAAAUUUGAUGAAAGAAAUGCUUAAAUUGAUUAUUUUUUAGAUAUGGAAAAUAGUAAAUGGGAUGCGCCUUUUUCAAAUUUUGCUCCAUUCGAGCCGCCAUGACAUCACCAAAUCACCACAAAAUUUGCUUAUGAGUUCAAUAUAUGGGAGCUGUCAAGUUGUCCCCGGGCUGGUACCAUCUGAGCGACCAAUGGAAGAAUACUAAGGCUUUAGGGCUAAUCUCAGUGGUAACGUUGGAUAGUUCGGAAGGGAUUGUCUCUAAUCGGAGCUUACUGGUGGUUGUCCUAAUCGAAGUUUACUGAGUUUAUUUGUUCAAUAUAAAUAAAUAUGUUUAGGCACGAAAUGUAAGAUAGUAACAAUAGUAUUCAUUCAUAAAAACCUUUGUGUGGGCAGGUUUCAAUA